ensembl:scaRNA
GGUCAAUGAUGAACAGUAAAAGGUCUGAUUUGCCCAGUGGUUGCUUCCUUUACCUUUGCAACUCCCAGCAGUUUCUCUUCCAUUAUACUCUAGAAAUGCCAUGAAUGGGAGAGCAUUUGCUGAUAAGUAGUGAUGCAUUCAGCUUGUGUUGCUCUAAAGCACUGGGUAGACACAGCUGAAAUUGUUAUCCAACAAAAACAGUAAAGGAGUUUAAGGUACUGGACCCAUGUCUCUGGUUAUAUGAUCUUAAACGGUUAGCUGAGACC